rnacentral:rRNA from 1 species
UACGAAGGGGGCUAGCGUUGCUCGGAAUUACUGGGCGUAAGGGCGCGUAGGCGGCCGAUCAAGUCAGGCGUGAAAUUCCCGGGCUCAACCUGGGGGCUGCGCUUGAGACUGGUUGGCUAGAGGCCGAGAGAGGGUGGUGGAAUUCCCAGUGUAGAGGUGAAAUUCGUAGAUAUUGGGAAGAACACCGGUGGCGAAGGCGGCCACCUGGCUCGGUACUGACGCUGAGGCGCGACAGCG